rnacentral:rRNA from 1 species
UACAGAGGGUGCGAGCGUUGUUCGGAAUUAUUGGGCGUAAAGGGCGCGUAGGCGGUGCGGUAAGUCACCUGUGAAAUCUCCUGGCUCAACUGGGAGCUUGCAGGCGAAACUGCCGUGCUGGAGUGUGGGAGAGGUGUGUGGAAUUCCUGGUGUAGCGGUGAAAUGCGUAGAUAUCAGGAGGAACACCUGUGGCGAAAGCGGCGCACUGGACCACAACUGACGCUGAGGCGCGAAAGCUAGGGGAGCAAACAGG